rnacentral:rRNA from 1 species
GAUGAACGCUGGCGGCGUGCCUAAUACAUGCAAGUCGAGCGAACAGAUAAGGAGCUUGCUCCUUUGACGUUAGCGGCGGACGGGUGAGUAACACGUGGAUAACCUACCUAUAAGACUGGGAUAACUUCGGGAAACCGGAGCUAAUACCGGAUAACAUAUUGAACCGCAUGGUUCAAUAGUGAAAGGCGGCUUUGCUGUCACUUAUAGAUGGAUCCGCGCCGUAUUAGCUAGUUGGUAAGGUAACGGCUUACCAAGGCAACGAUACGUAGCCGACCUGAGAGGGUGAUCGGCCACACUGGAACUGAGACACGGUCCAGACUCCUACGGGAGGCAGCAGUAGGGAAUCUUCCGCAAUGGGCGAAAGCCUGACGGAGCAACGCCGCGUGAGUGAUGAAGGUCUUCGGAUCGUAAAACUCUGUUAUCAGGGAAGAACAAAUGUGUAAGUAACUGUGCACAUCUUGACGGUACCUGAUCAGAAAGCCACGGCUAACUACGUGCCAGCAGCCGCGGUAAUACGUAGGUGGCAAGCGUUAUCCGGAAUUAUUGGGCGUAAAGCGCGCGUAGGCGGUUUUUUAAGUCUGAUGUGGAAGCCCACGGCUCAACCGUGGAGGGUCAUUGGAAACUGGAAAACUUGAGUGCAGAAGAGGAAAGUGGAAUUCCAUGUGUAGCGGUGAAAUGCGCAGAGAUAUGGAGGAACACCAGUGGCGAAGGCGACUUUCUGGUCUGUAACUGACGCUGAUGUGCGAAAGCGUGGGGAUCAAACAGG